rnacentral:rRNA from 1 species
UGGGGAAUAUUGGGCAAUGGGCGCAAGCCUGAACGAGCAAUGCCGCGUGUGUGAAGAAGGUCUUCGGAUCGUAAAGCACUGUUGUAAGUGAAGAAUGCCACAUAGAGGAAAUGCUAUGUGGGUGACGGUAGCUUACCAGAAAGCCACGGCUAACUACGUGCCAGCAGCCGCGGUAAUACGUAGGUGGCAAGCGUUAUCCGGAAUCAUUGGGCGUAAAGGGUGCGUAGGUGACACGAUAAGUCUGAAGUAAAAGGCAACAGCUCAACUGUUGUAUGCUUUGGAAACUGUCGAGCUAGAGUGCAGAAGAGGGCGAUGGAAUUCCAUGUGUAGCGGUAAAAUGCGUAGAUAUAUGGAGGAACACCAGUGGCGAAGGCGGUCGCCUGGUCUGUAACUGACACUGAUGCACGAAAGCGUGGGGAGCAAUAGGAUUAGAUACC